ACUCAAAGGAAUUGACGGGGGCCCGCACAAGCGGUGGAGCAUGUGGUUUAAUACGUCACUAACCGUAGAACCUUACCAGGGCUUGACAUCUGCCGACAGGUUAUGAAAGUAAUUUUUCCUCCACAAGAGGACGGCAAGACAGGUGUUGCAUGGCUGUCGUCAGCUCGUGUCGUGAGAUGUUGGGUUAAGUCCCGCAACGAGCGCAACCCUCAUCCAAUGUUGCCAGCGUUAAGUCGGGAACUCUUUGGAAACUGCCCGUGUAAGCGGGAGGAAGGUGGGGAUGACGUCAAGUCAGCAUGGCCCUUACGCCCUGGGCUACACACAUGCUACAAUGGCAGUUCACAGAGGGAAGCAAUACCGCGAGGUGGAGCAAAUCCCAGAAAUACUGUCCCAGUUCGGAUUGCAGUCUGCAACUCGACUGCAUGAAGUUGGAAUCGCUAGUAACCGCAGGUCAGCUAAACUGCGGUGAAUACGUUCCCGGGCCUUGUACACACCGCCCGU
rnacentral:rRNA from 1 species